AUAAAAAGCAAGUGGUUCCUGGCCUGCGAUACUCUACUCUAAGGUGUCUGGUUGACGGCAUGUUGGCACCAGCAUUGAAGGAAGUGAUGGACUUCAUCUCCAGGUUCCUAUCCUGAGACCUCAGCAGGAUGUGCCUUGGACAAAGGCUUGGACUCCUGAAUCAUCUGGUGACUUCAAGAUUCUGGU